AUUGAACGCUGGCGGCAUGCUUUACACAUGCAAGUCGAACGGUAACAGGUUAAGCUGACGAGUGGCGAACGGGUGAGUAAUGCAUCGGAACGUGCCCGGUCGUGGGGGAUAACGCAGCGAAAGCUGCGCUAAUACCGCAUACGAUCUGAGGAUGAAAGCGGGGGACCGUAAGGCCUCGCGCGAUCGGAGCGGCCGAUGUCAGAUUAGGUAGUUGGUGGGGUAAAGGCUCACCAAGCCAACGAUCUGUAGCUGGUCUGAGAGGACGACCAGCCACACUGGGACUGAGACACGGCCCAGACUCCUACGGGAGGCAGCAGUGGGGAAUUUUGGACGAUGGGCGAAAGCCUGAUCCAGCCAUUCCGCGUGAGUGAAGAAGGCCUUCGGGUUGUAAAGCUCUUUCGCAAGGGAAGAAAACUUAAGCUCUAACAUAGCUUGAGGUUGACGGUACCUUGAUAAGAAGCACCGGCUAACUACGUGCCAGCAGCCGCCGUAA
rnacentral:rRNA from 1 species